UUUCUCUGCUUGUGGCUAUUUUUAAGCAAAGCCGCACCCACAGGCGGGCGUGUGGCAGCCCAGGUUUUGCUCCAGGGGUGUCCCAGUGCCCAGCUGCAAUGAUCGGAAUUUCUUACAACGGGCCGAGGAAGGAGCUCGUUGAGCACAUCAGGUGCAAUUAGAGGGUGCAACAGGAUGAAAAACGCGUGUCUGCACUGGCGGGGGAAAGCAGCGAGAGCUCUGGGGCACACGAUGUUCCCUGCCCUGUCUGGAUCCUGCAUCCCGGGCAGGGUCAGCCCGCACUGCUGCAGACGGACCAGGCUGAUAAACCACGGCCAUACUGGAAAGUGCUGCAGAUGAAGCUGCCCUGACAUGAAUGGAGCACAUGGGUGUCUGCAUCUGCACGGUGAUGCACACACAGCUCCCAGCCACCCUCUCCAAACUCCAACCACGCUAAGAAUUCCUGGAUGUGUGACUCGGACCCCACCAGGCUUCUCCCUGCCCUGCACCCCUCUGUCCAAAGGAGAGGAUGCGUG
rnacentral:lncRNA from 12 species